GGCGGGUCAUGAUGCACCCAAUGCUCCGUCCCCCUCCACCACCACCGGGGACCGGGGAUCCAGGGUGCCACCAACACCCCUUCUCUCCCUUCUGCAGGAAGGUUGCCUCUGUCUGCGGUGCCUCAUCAGAUUUUUUAUGCUUCGAGGAUUAAACCUCCGAGGUGACACUUGCAAUGUAGCUGAAUCAGAAAAACAACAGCAACGCCACCGACAGCAGCCAACAAGGGAACUGGGAACUGAAAGGAAAAUUGUCUUCUUUGUGUCCAAUGCCAAGCAGGUUUCUUUCAUACUCCAUAUUUACUCGGAUCGAUCUUCAGAAUGCGCAGCCGCCUGAACCGUGAGCCACUCCAAGGCUGGGUGUAAACCCGACGACCUCCCCUAAUUCAUGACCUCGGAUCCACACACUGCCAAAGACACACGGAGCAGUGUGGCGGCUGCCCCCGUCCCACGGCCUUCUGCGGUAUUGUUACGACUUGAUGCCUUGGCAAUAAAUGACGUGCCCGCUCAA